GACGUAGGGCGCGAGCGUUGUCCGGAUUUAUUGGGCGUAAAGAGCUCGUAGGCGGUUUGUCGCGUCUGCUGUGAAAACCCGAGGCUCAACCUCGGGCCUGCAGUGGGUACGGGGCAGACUAGAGUGCGGUAGGGGGAGAUUGGAAUUCCUGGUGUAGCGGUGGAAUGCGCAGAUAUCAGGAGGAACACCAAUGGCGAAGGCAGAUCUCUGGGCCGUAACUGACGCUGAGGAGCGAAAAGCAUGGGGGAGCGAACAGG
rnacentral:rRNA from 1 species